UUAAAAUGCCUCUUGUAAAUACCUUAGUAUUUUGGGGAGUUUCUGGGAAUUCUGUCGGACAGGACUGCUUUAUUUAUGGUAGCUUUAGAGUUAUGUUACUAUCUACCUCUUAUCUUCACUUACCAUUUAUCUUUUCCAGUGUUUUCUUACCUAUUCUUAGACUUUCAUCCUCCUAAAAAAAUGCCAGUGUUCGGACCAGUUCCAAAAGAGAGUGCCAUUAGGAUUCUUAAUCAUAUUAAAUCAAUACAUUAAUUUUCGGGGGUGGCCUCAGGAUCUUCAGCAGGGGUCUGUGUUUCUUUGUCUCACCCUGCAGGGCUUCAGAGGACAGGGAGUUUCCAGCAACAUGAGGGUAAGAGGAUGGUAGAUGUGGGGUCAGAGACUGUGCCGGCAGUAAGUGGGGUUGAGGUCUGUUCUCCAGGAGCAAUACUGGCAGACAGGUGGUCCCACAUCCCUGCCAGGUCUACCUGAGAGCUCUGGGAACGAGGAAGUACUGAUGGGUCUGGGAAUUCGCCAUGUUUCACAGCAGAUAAAGCAGGACUCCAGAGGAGCCCACCUCUCCCUUAAGAGGGGACCAGCCAGUCUACUCUAUGCCGCCUCAGCCCCCACUGGCUCUCCAGCUAGCAUCCCCUUUUUUUACUAAUGCCAAUCAGCCCAGACAGGGUCCUUCAGUUUGAAUCAAUUUAGUGUAACAGCCUGGAUCACUCCAGCUCCAAAGCCAGGGGAGAAUUCGGAUGCUUUGCUGGCAAAGCCCUCCCUGAUGGAUUUUGGGCGGCUUGCAGAAAUGAACAUAAACAGAGAUGGCGAUGUUAUCUAUGCACAUCGUAAGUGAGCAGCCACCCGACCCACAGGAGCUUGAAACGAGAUCUCAGGGCAGAUGGAACUUCCCUCAGAGAAGGACCUCUUUCUCAGGCCUCUGGGAAGUCCUCUGUCAUGCUCAUGUCUCAGUCCCCCGAUUCAGGAAUCCCUCGCCGACACCCUGCUUCCCUGCCCUCUCGUCCCCCUGCCCGCCUGCCUCCCCAUCAACUCCUCUCCUUUUUCUGUCUCCCUAGGAAAUAAGCAAAGAGGGCAAUCGCCUCCUUGGAGGCUCUGGAGACAAUUAUCGGGUGAGCCUAGGGGCAGGCAGGGUUGGCUUUAGGAGAAGGGAUGGUGAAGCAUGCUAAGAUCCUGGGAAGAGAAACAAAAAUAUCAGUUUCUUCUUGCAAGCUGCUCUGAAUCUGUGUCCAGUGACCAUCAAGAGACCAAAACAGGGGUCUGGGAUCCCCAUCUCCAUCUUUGGUUCAUUCAUUCCUUCCUUCCUUUUGAUUUGGAUCGGAGCCAUAUUACUUUCGUAAGGGGAAAAAACAGAUAAAAGUAACAGAAGAAUGGUCAAGGGGAUUUCCAUACUUAGGGAGGCAGUGUUGAGAAGGAGAAAGUCACUGAGCUUUGAGGUAGAAGAUGAGGUUUCGAAAGCCAGCUCUGGCCAGGCACCAGCAUGACUGUAAUCCCAGCACUUUGGGAGGCUGAGGUGUGGGGAUCAUUUGAGUCCAGAAGUUUGAGACCAGCCUGAGCAACAUAGGAAGACCCUGUCUCUACUUUUUAAAAAGAAAAUAAUAGGCCAUGUGCAGUGGCUCACACCUGUAAUGUGAUCCUGUAAUGUAAUCCUAGGUAGCUAGGAUUACAUGCCUCAGCCUCCCAAGUAGCUGGGAUUACAGGCAUGUGCCACCAUGCCUGACUAAUUUUGUAUUUUUAGUAGAGAUGGGGUUUCACUAUGUUGGCCAGGCUGUUUUCGAACUCCUGACCUCAGGUGAUCCACCCGCCUCGGCCUCUCAAAGUGCUGGGAUUACAGGCGUGACCCACCAUGCCCAGCCUCAAAAAAAUUUAAGAUAUAUAUUAAAAACACCACCAGCUCUAUCAUGUCAUCUGUGUAUCUUCAGGCAAGUCAGCUAACCUCUCCGAGCCUGAGCUUCCUCCAGUAAAAUGAGGACAGUGAAGCCUGACUCACGCAGCCUUCAGUUACUGUACAGCUUUCCAUGUCACCACCAGACCAAGGUGUUGUGGAGUCCAGAUUCUGGAGACAGAUGCUACAUAAGUCAUGGUGCUUGGCGUGCCGUGGGACUACACGUUAGCUAAUCUCAUUUACUUGAGGUGUUUUGGGGACAGACCAGGAUGGAGGCAAGAGUCUGAAUAUUGAGAUUCAGGGGACUGGGUGGGGUUCCAUGGGAGCAAGCCAUUCUAAGAAGGCUUUCCCAGGUGAGCUUUUUGGUGCUGUGUAAGGAAGAGAAGGCAGCUUUAUAGAGAGGAGGACAGGAAGCCUGGACCGAGGUGGGGAUGAAGCAAUCCGGGGCAGGUUGACAGGUGGCAGGCAUGAUAGGAAGCAUAAGCCUUGGACAUCGGUCCCCCUUUUCCCCACCCAGGGGCAAGGGUCGAGCUGGGGCAGUGGAGGAGGUGACGCUGUUGGUGGAGUCAAUACUGUGGUGAGUGGAGGCAACACUCCACCGUGGGCUGGGACCACGGUGUCACGCAAUCCUCGCCUCCCCUCCUGCCACUCAGAUCUCCCGACUCGGGCUCACAAAGUGGGUUCUUCUCUCAUCCCAUAUCUCCUUGGUUUCAUAGAACUCUGAGACGUCUCCUGGGAUGUUUAACUUUGACACUUUCUGGAAGAAUUUUAAAUCCAAGCUGGGUUUCAUCAACUGGGAUGCCAUAAACAAGGACCAGAGAAGCUCUCGCAUCCCAUGACCUCCAGACAAGGAGCCACCAGAUUGGAUGGGAGCCCCCACACUCCCUCCUUAAAACACCACCCUCUCAUCACUAAUCUCAGCCCUUGCCCUUGAAAUAAACCUUAGCUUCUCCACA
rnacentral:sRNA from 1 species